AGCAGUUCCAUAUGUUGUUUUCUGUGUAAAUGUUAAGAGGUCAGUAACAUCCAAACACACCCUAAAUGUGCCGAUCCCAUUCAUUUGGUUCAAUUUUUUUCAACUGGGUAUGUUUUUAUUUCCUUAAAAUUUUCUUAUGAUUACUAAAAUAGAUUCAUUCAAAUCUAAUGAGCAAUCAAAAUAAAUGUUACUUCAACUGCUAAUGGUAUAAAUGUUUCUAAGCCCAUGUAUUGGAUUGAAGUGAAUGUAUGAAUGCAACCUAUAUUUUUAUGUGCAUUUGCAGAGUUUUUAAGAAUGGGUCCCAGACCAAACACUUUCAGUUACACAGAACUGAAGAACGCCACCGAAGACUUCAAUCCUGCAAAUAAGCUGGGUCAGGGUGGAUUUGGCACCAUUUUUAAGGAGAGUAAAUUGCAUCUAGAUUGGCAUACCCGCUUCGAGAUAUGCUUGGGGACAACAAGAGGUCUUGCUUACCUUCACGAGGAAUCCAGGCCUUGCAUUGUUCACAGGGAUGUUUAAUGGAAUGAAGCUGUACUCAGAGAGGCGUUAAUGAAAUGAUAUGGAAAUCAGAUGCAUUGGAGGAUGAUCAGAAAUGUGCAGUUUCACAUGCGGAAGAGGGUUUGAUGAGAAAAGAAUCAUCUGUGCUUGGAGAAUAUGUUGCAUCCCUAUCAGGAGAGACACCAAGACAUCCUCCAGCUCCCCUAGCUCCUGAGGGUAACCUUUUACAUGGCGGAAAUGUAUUGUCAAAAUCUGUUAUUUAAACUGCAGUAUUUGAUGGAUUUGGUCCGACAAGUUGUGAUGGACACGUUUCCAUAAAGAAUCUAGGUUCCUUGUAAGGCAUCACUUGUUAGAUUUGUCAAAACUCGAGUUUUCUUCUGAUGAUGGGGAUGAAGGCAAGACUUCUUUGGGAGUUUCAGAUGCCCUUCAUCUCCCUAGUAGCUUAGCCGACAUACAGGAAAGAUGUGAUAUCGGGAGUUCUAUGAAAGAAUUCAACAUUGACCCGUAUAACAGGUGCUUGAAGCUAGCUAAUAAGUCACCUAGGAAUUUGCAAUAACACUUCACCUUUAUGUUGUUUGGAUGGAAUAAUACCACGUUUGAAUGGGCCCUUUAAUUUUUUAUUUUUUCAGAUUUCUAUUCCAAAUAGAAACUAAAAUUUCAAUUUGAAAAGUGGGUGUGAUUCUCAUGUUUUUCUCCACCCACAUAAUUGACAACAUAA